rnacentral:lncRNA from 11 species
GUAACGGAGAGAGAGAUUUGUCCCUCCUUAACAGCAGCCAGCAAGAUUUCCAAUGAAUUGUUGAAUCUUCAAAGAAGAGAACUGGAAACUUCUAGUUAUCCUGCAGGACAUUUUUGCUAUAGCUUUUCAAUGAAUAAUGCUGCAUCAAGUCUCAACUUAGUUUGUAGCAGUCACAAAAUCAAAGUUUCUGGAAUAUAACAACUACUUUCAAAUUGGACCUUCCUGAUUCCUUGCCUUG